GACGAACGCUGGCGGCGCGCUUAACACAUGCAAGUCGAGCGAUGAAAUUUCGACAGAUCCCUUCGGGGUGAAGAUGAAAUGGAUUAGCGGCGGACGGGUGAGUAACACGUGAGUAACCUGCCUUUGACAUUGGGAUAGCCUCGGGAAACUGGGAUUAAUACCAAAUGACACUAACUGAUCACAUGAUCAAUUAGUCAAAGAAAUUCGGUCAAAGAUGGACUCGCGGCUGAUUAGCUAGUUGGUGAGGUAACGGCCCACCAAGGCGACGAUCAGUAGCCGGCCUGAGAGGGUGCUCGGCCACAUUGGAACUGAGACACGGUCCAAACUCCUACGGGAGGCAGCAGUGGGGAAUAUUGCACAAGGGGGGAAACCCUGAUGCAGCGACGCCGCGUGAGCGAAGAAGGCCUUCGGGUCGUAAAGCUCUUUUAUGAGGGAAGAUAAUGACGGUACCUCAAGAAAAAGCCCCGGCUAACUACGUG
rnacentral:rRNA from 1 species